UGCAUGGAUCCAAUCUCUAUGACUUUGGAUCUCUUAUAAAGUUCUUUAUUCAUUUUCUGCAUGAAAAAUAGGUAUGUAGGCCAAAACUUAUUUUUCCACGGAGCAGUUUGCCAAAUGUUCUUGUUCAUUAGACUUCCCAUCUUCCAUAAUCAACAUUUUGAGAAAGCACAUUGGAAGAUUCACACCUUUACGUUGAGAUGGACAUUGAGGAAUGCCAUCACACAGACACUAGAAGCAUGCAGGGCUUUUGGGAUCAUAUGGUGUUCAAAUCAAUCACUUCCAUAAUGAAUUCUGGUUUG